CCUCCAGGACAGCCACAAGGACCACAGCCACAGGGAGGCCACCACCACCACCAUGGUCCACCACCUCCUCCAGGACAGCCACAAGGACCACCCCCACAACAGGGGCAGCCUCCCCAGUAAUCUAGGAUUCAAUGACAGGAAGUGAAUAAGAAGAUAACAGUGUUUCAAAUGCCAUGAAAUAUAAUGUGGUCAUGCUCUAGCUUCAAUAUACCAAUAAAAUAAUCAGCUUGCAAUUUC